GGAGAGAUGCCAGAGUGGACGAAUGGGACCGCCUCGAAAGCGGUUACCCCGAGAAAAUCGGGGUCGGAGGUUCGAAUCCUCCUCUCUCCG
rnacentral:tRNA from 1 species